AGUGAACGCUGGCGGUAGGCCUAACACAUGCAAGUCGAACGGCAGCACAGUAAGAGCUUGCUCUUACGGGUGGCGAGUGGCGGGCGGGUGAGGAAUACAUCGGAAUCUACUUUUUCGUGGGGGAUAACGUAGGGAAACUUACGCUAAUACCGCAUACGACCUACGGGUGAAAGCAGGGGAUCUUCGGACCUUGCGCGAUUGAAUGAGCCGAUGUCGGAUUAGCUAGUUGGCGGGGUAAAGGCCCACCAAGGCGACGAUCCGUAGCUGGUCUGAGAGGAUGAUCAGCCACACUGGAACUGGGACACGGUCCAGACUCCUACGGGAGGCAGCAGUGGGGAAUAUUGGACAAUGGGCGCGAGCCUGAUCCAGCCAUACCGCGUGGGUGAAGAAGGCCUUCGGGUUGUAAAGCCCUUUUGUUGGGAAAGAAAAGCAGCAGGUUAAUACCCCGCUGUUCUGACGGUACCCAAAGAAUAAGCACCGGCUAACUUCGUG
rnacentral:rRNA from 1 species